rnacentral:rRNA from 1 species
CGCGUAAUACGUAGGGCGCAAGCGUUAUCCGGAAUUAUUGGGCGUAAAGAGCUCGUAGGCGGUUUGUCGCGUCUGCCGUGAAAGUCCGGGGCUCAACUCCGGAUCUGCGGUGGGUACGGGCAGACUAGAGUGAUGUAGGGGAGACUGGAAUUCCUGGUGUAGCGGUGAAAUGCGCAGAUAUCAGGAGGAACACCGAUGGCGAAGGCAGGUCUCUGGGCAUUAACUGACGCUGAGGAGCGAAAGCAUGGGGAGCGAACAGGAUUAGAUACCCUGGUAGUCCAUGCCGUAAACGUUGGGCACUAGGUGUGGGGGACAUUCCACGUUUUCCGCGCCGUAGCUAACGCAUUAAGUGCCCCGCCUGGGGAGUACGGCCGCAAGGCUAAAACUCAAAGGAAUUGACGGGGGCCCGCACAAGCGGCGGAGCAUGCGGAUUAAUUCGAUGCAACGCGAAGAACCUUACCAAGGCUUGACAUGAACCGGUAAUACCUGGAGACAGGUGCCCCGCUUGCGGUCGGUUUACAGGUGGUGCAUGGUUGUCGUCAGCUCGUGUCGUGAGAUGUUGGGUUAAGUCCCGCAACGAGCGCAACCCUCGUUCUAUGUUGCCAGCACGUGAUGGUGGGGACUCAUAGGAGACUGCCGGGGUCAACUCGGAGGAAGGUGGGGACGACGUCAAAUCAUCAUGCCCCUUAUGUCUUGGGCUUCACGCAUGCUACAAUGGCCGGUACAAAGGGUUGCGAUACUGUGAGGUGGAGCUAAUCCCAAAAAGCCGGUCUCAGUUCGGAUUGGGGUCUGCAACUCGACCCCAUGAAGUCGGAGUCGCUAGUAAUCGCAGAUCAGCAACGCUGCGGUGAAUACGUUCCCGGGCCUUGUACACACCGCCCGUCAAGUCACGAAAGUUGGUAACACCCGAAGCCGGUGGCCUAACCCCUUGUGGGAGGGAGCUGUCGAAGGUGGGACUGGCGAUUGGGACUAAGUCGUAACAA